GGAGAGGUGUCAGAGCGGCUUAAUGAGCAAGCUUGGAAAGUUUGUGUAGGUGCAAACCUACCGAGGGUUCGAAUCCCUCCCUCUCCGCCA
rnacentral:tRNA from 1 species